rnacentral:rRNA from 1 species
GUUCUAAAUUGAACUUUGAUCUUACUUGUGUAGGAUAGGUGGGAGGCUUUGAAACCGAGACGCUAGUUUCGGUGGAGCCAAUCUUGAAAUACCACCCUGGUAAUAUUGAGGUUCUAACUCUGUCCCGUUAUCCGGGACGAGGACCAUGUCUGGUGGGUAGUUUGACUGGGGCGGUCUCCUCCUAAAGAGUAACG